CCCUCCGUAGGGGAACCUGCGGAGGGAUCAUUACAGAGUUAUCCAACUCCCAAACCCAUGUGAACUUAUCUCUUUGUUGCCUCGGCGCAAGCUACCCGGGACCUCGCGCCCCGGGCGGCCCGCCGGCGGACAAACCAAAACUCUUGUUAUCUUAGUUGAUUAUCUGAGUGUCUUAUUUAAUAAGUCAAAACUUUCAACAACGGAUCUCUUGGUUCUGGCAUCGAUGAAGAACGCAGCGAAAUGCGAUAAGUAAUGUGAAUUGCAGAAUUCAGUGAAUCAUCGAAUCUUUGAACGCACAUUGCGCCCAUUAGUAUUCUAGUGGGCAUGCCUGUUCGAGCGUCAUUUCAACCCCUAAGCACAGCUUAUUGUUGGGAACCUACGGCUUCGUAGUUCCUCAAAGACAUUGGCGGAGUGGCAGUGGUCCUCUGAGCGUAGUAAUCUUUUAUCUCGCUUCUGUUAGGUGCUGCCCCCCCGGCCGUAAAACCCCCAAUUUUUUCUGGUUGACCUCGGAUCAGGUAGGAAUACCCGCUGAACUUAAGCAUAUCAAA
rnacentral:rRNA from 1 species